rnacentral:rRNA from 1 species
AUGACGAGACCUAAAGGUGAAGGAGGUACGGGCUUUUGAGAUCUAAGAUUAUUUAAUCAAGCACUCCUUGCGAAACAAGCUUGGCAAUUAUUGUUUUUUCCAGACUCAUUAUGCGGAAAGGUGAUGAAAGCAAAGUAGUAUCCUCAUGGGCAUCUGCUGGACACUAUUUUCCCUCAAGUGACUUCAGCUACUUGGCAACAUAUUAUGCAUGGCCUUGAGCUGCCGAAGAAGUGUAUCAUUUGGAGAGUUGUUGAUGGUGCGACUAUAAAUAUCUCGAGGGAUAAUUGGCUGCCUAGAGAUUCGUGUCUUCAAAUUUUUGCAAAAAAGAACAGGACCAGACUUAUAUGUGUGUCUGAUUUAUUCAUGAGUGGUUCUAAAAGAUGGAAUGAGAAUAUGAUUAGGCAUCUAUUUUAUCCACAUGAUGCCGAGGAAAUUUUAAAGUUGUGUAUCCCGUCUUUCGAUGAGGGAGAUUUUGUUGCUUGGCACUACGAGAAAAAUGGGAUGUUCUCGGUUAAAAGUGCGUAUAGGUUGGCGCUGAAUUUAAAGAACACUAAGAGUGAGUCAGCGAGCUCUAAUGAUGUUGUGAAUGGAGAAAGGAGGCUUUGGAAGGCUCAUGUGCCUCAGAAAAUCAGAAUUUUUGCUUGGCGUGCUGCUACAAACAGUGUGGCGGUUCAAGUAAAUCGAUUUAAACACCAUCAAACUACAAUUGGUUUGUGCUUGAUUUGUGGCGUCGAAGAUGAAUGUGUGUUUAAUGCUUUGGUGAGUUGCCCUAAGGCUCGGGCACUACGUAUGGCGGUAAGAGAGGUCUGGAACUUGCCAGAUGAUGAGAUAUUUAAAUUUUCUGGCCAGAUUGGCUAA